rnacentral:lncRNA from 1 species
UUUGCAAAACAAAAAAACGCGUAAAAGUUUCUAUUUCUGAAUAGAAACUUCAAAUGUUUGAUAUAUUUUUCACAAUUUAUUCCUGAAAUAUUAAAACAUAAAAAUGAUCAACAAUUUUUAUAUCCAGUAUCUUAAUCUAUUCUCAUAAAAGUGCCAUAAAAAUCAUAUGUCCUUUGAAGGACUCUGAUGAUUUUCUUCAUGUAUAUUAUUUGCAUCUGCUAAUCUUCUUAUGUCACGAGAUGAUGAAGGUUCACUUCCUGCUUUAGAAGCCUAUAAAAAACAAAAUAAUUAUUAUAUUAGAGCAUCACUAGAAUUAUUAAAUGAGAUAUAUCAUCACUAUUUUCUUGGUGGUGUACUUGUUUAUGUGAGAUGUUGUAUUUUUGCAGUUUACGGUAUCUUGUUUUUGGUUAUUAGAAUUGUAAAACAUUUUGUAGUUGGUCGUGUAUCGUGCGAGCAUACAUCUAGUUAUAUUAAAACUCAUAACAACAUAAGAUACGUUAUAGGGAUAAGCAGCAAAGCUACAUAAUUUUGACUACCACUCCAAAAUUGAAAAUCUUAAUCCCGUAAUUGGCCGUGCAUCUUGUGGGCAUACAUCUAGUUAUAUUAAAACUCAUAACAACAUAAGAUAUGCUCUGGACAUGAACAAGAAAGCCACACAAUUUUGACUACCACUCCAAAAUCAAAAGUCUCAAUCCCAUUAUGUCUCGUGCAUCGCGCGGACACGGGCAUAAAUCUUGUUAUAUAUAAAACUCAUAACAACAUGAGACACAUCUAGUUAUAUAUAAAACGCAUAAGAGCUACACAAUUUUAGCGUCCACCAAAAUAAAAAAUCUAACCAAUUUUCUUAUCAUAAUUCCAAAUGAAAAUUAAGCAUCUUUCCCAAAUUGAUAUACCUUAUAAAUUAUGACACAGAAAAGCAUGCAAAUUUAGGCACAAACCCCUAAACUCAAGCAUGUGGCAUGACCUUCACUUCCGUUUCAUUUUUAUUUAUUUUUUAUCUAAUCGAUUUGAUUCCAAUUUUUAAACUACUUUUUGUUUUUUUACAUAUUUAUUAUAUUACUAUAGCAUUAUAUCCCAUGCUUCGACCUAUCAAAUUCAUGCCAUUUCUUGUCCUAUAUACGUGCCUAUAAAUAACUCUAUCAAUCUUGUCUCUAAUCAUUAUUAACUUCCUCAUUCCUUAAUUUCAUCAAAACUACAAUUAUAACGUUUAUGUCAUGGAUUCUGGUCUCUGCGUAGUGUUGGUAAGAUGAAGGGUUCUAUGUGGGGCUAUUCUGGUGCUCAUGUUGAUAAAUUCUCCGCCAAGUUGCCAUGGAAGGAAACACUUUCUUUUCCAUUUCAUGAUAAUAAUUCCUUAGAACCUGUUGUUACUAACUACUUUAACUCCACAUUUAAUAUUACUAUUUCAAAAUAAUUUUUUAUAUUAAUUUAUCAAUGUUUAUAAUAAUUUUUAUUAGGGUGGCAAAACAAGCCGUCAGACACCCGUUUUGUCCGUAUUUUUUCGCGGGAUCAGUCAAAUUUUAGACUCACACCCUCAAAUAUUCAUCCCGCCAUCAUAUUCUUAAGAGGCAAAUCAAAGUUUUAAGUUCGCACCUUCAAUUAUAUUUGUACCUAAAUAAAAACAAACUAAUUAUGUAUUAAACCAACAUAAUAAUGAGAUAAUUUGUCAUGUUUGAAUAACUCAUUUCACACACAACAUGAAACAAACCUAUACUAAUACCAACUAGUGAACAUCCUGAAACUUAAGAAUACAUACAUUAGACAUUGUAAGUAUUUAAUGCAAUCCAAACACUAACAGAAAGAAAAACGAAGAUACACGAAACAACCCCAUUCUACCAACAAAGAAGUCUCAUUUUCUAAUUGUUGUAAAUAAACCAUGUUAAUAUUUAUGCAUCAAACAACUACAAGGAUAAGGAAAAACUCACCAGCUAGCAAAUAGAGUUAUGAAUCCAACAAUUUAGUUGAAGAAACCACUGCGUAUCUAUCAAUAAAUAACCACAACAUAAAAUAUUAUGAUAAGAUUCAUACAAGUAAGUCAAAAGGAAAUGACACAGUGAGAUACAACAGCAAGCAAAAACAACUAACAAAGUAAGAUUCAUCCACAAUAUUGUUCAGAAUUUGGAUAUAGUUGUUAAAAACCAUUGAAUAUAAUCGAAUUCGGUGGCCCAAAUUAUAAGAUUAACCAGAGGACUAAGAAAACAUUACCAUUCAAAUUAUCCUAACGACACUCUUACACAAGAAUAUAUCAAGAACUUAAACUUAGAAAAAAAUCCAAAUGAAUAUAGAAUAAUAUAUUCAAAAAAUGUUAAUCUUGUGAAGAGGUUAAUAAAAUUAUCAGCUGAGUCCCAUAAACCAUAACAGUUAUGUCAAUGUCAAAAAUCAUGUAAUGAAAAACGAAAGCAUAUUAUUACCUUAGAAUUGGUGGUUUGUGGAAUUGUGGACUGUUGAGUAGAAAAAUAGAGCAAUAAAACGCCCGAUUGCAGAAUUGCAGAUUACGGAGCAGCAGAACAGAGCAGCUAAAAACCUGAUUCUGGAACAGCAGAAAACCUGAUUGUUAGGGUUCCAUAUUGAUAAUAAUAUUGAAUAAGUGUAAUUAUAAUUUCAAAUAAUUGUUAGGGUUUGAAUUUGAAUGAAAGGAAUAAAUUGAGAUCAAAAGGGUUUACCUGAAACUGGACAGAAGGAAAGGAAUAAGAGAAAUUUGAAACCGAAGUGGAAAUUCAUAGAAGAAAGUUGAAAAUCGGAGAAGAAAUCUGAAAAUACCGGAGAGAGUUGAGAUGAAUUAGGGUCAUU